rnacentral:rRNA from 1 species
UCUCAGUAACACGUAGUCAACAUGCCCAGGGGACGUGGAUAACCUCGGGAAACUGAGGAUAAACCGCGAUAGGUCAUCACUUCUGGAAUGGGUAAUGACUUAAAUCUAUAUGGCCCCCGGAUUGGACUGCGGCCGAUCAGGCUGUUGGUGAGGUAAUGGCCCACCAAACCUGUAACCGGUACGGGCUCUGAGAGGAGGAGCCCGGAGAUGGGCACUGAGACAAGGGCCCAGGCCCUAUGGGGCGCAGCAGGCGCGAAACCUCUGCAAUAGGCGAAAGCUUGACAGGGUUACUCUGAGUGAUUUCCGUUAAGGAGAUCUUUUGGCACCUCUAAAAAUGGUGCAGAAUAAGGGGUGGGCAAGUCUGGUGUCAGCCGCCGCGGUAAUACCAGCACCCCGAGUGGUCGGGACGUUUAUUGGGCCUAAAGCAUCCGUAGCCGGUUCUACAAGUCUUCCGUUAAAUCCACCUGCUUAACAGAUGGGCUGCGGAAGAUACUAUAGAGCUAGGAGGCGGGAGAGGCAAGCGGUACUCGAUGGGUAGGGGUAAAAUCCGUUGAUCCAUUGAAGACCACCAGUGGCGAAGGCGGCUUGCCAGAACGCGCUCGACGGUGAGGGAUGAAAGCUGGGGGAGUAAACCGGAUUAGAUACCCGGGUAGUCCCAGCUGUAAACGAUGCAGACUCGGUGAUGAGUUGGCUUAUUGCUAACUCAGUGCCGCAGGGAAGCCGUUAAGUUUGCCGCCUGGGGAGUACGGUCGCAAGACUGAAACUUAAAGGAAUUGGCGG